rnacentral:rRNA from 1 species
CAUGAUGCUCAGUACGGCGAGUGAAGCGGCAAAGCUCAAUUUGAAAUCUGAGGCUCUCACGCCCCCGGAGUGUUAUUUUGAGAUGUGGUCUGGUUGCGGGCGCCCUGUCUACGUUUCCUGGAACAAGACAUCGCAGAAGGUGAGGAUCCCGGUCGUGGCGGGGCCGCCUGGCUUCGUGUAGAGCGCAUCGACGAGUCGAGGUGGUUGGGAAUGCAGCUCCUAGUGGGUUGUAAAUUCCAUCUAAAGGCUAAAUAAUGGCGAGAGACGAUAGCCGACCAGGUACAGUGAUGGAAAGGAUGAAAGGACUUUUGAAAAGAGAUGGAAUCAGACUUGGUUGCUGUUGCGAAUAGCCGCUCCUCGGUUUGGGCGGCAAGAACAAUGGCGGGGGAACGUGGCCACUGCUCCGGGCAUGUGUGUUAUAGCCCCCGCUGAUGUUGCCUGCCUAAACCAAGGACUGCGGCUUCUGCCUAGGAUGCUGGCGUAAUGAUCCAACACCGCCCGUCCUGACACACAGAGACACAAAA